CCUACGGGUGGCAGCAGUGAGGAAUAUUGGUCAAUGGCCGAGAGGCUGAACCAGCCAAGUUGCGUGAGGGAAGACGGCCCUACGUGUUGUAAACCUCUUUUGUCGGGGAGCAAAGCGAGUCACGUGUGACUCAUUGAGAGUACCCGAAGAAAAAGCAUCGGCUAACUCCGUGCCAGCAGCCGCGGUAAUACGGAGGAUGCGAGCGUUAUCCGGAUUUAUUGGGUUUAAAGGGUGCGCAGGCGGAGGUGUAAGUCAGCGGUAAAAUUGCGGGGCUCAACCCCGUACUGCCGUUGAAACUGCAUCCCUUGAGAGCGCGAGAAGUAUGCGGAAUGCGUGGAGUAGCGGUGAAAUGCAUAGAUAUCACGCAGAACUCCGAUUGCGAAGGCAGCAUACCGGCGCGCAACUGACGCUCAUGCACGAAAGCGUGGGUAUCGAACAGGAUUAGAUACCCGAGUAGUC
rnacentral:rRNA from 1 species